rnacentral:rRNA from 1 species
UACGUAGGGGGCGAGCGUUGUCCGAAUUCACUGGGCGUAAAGCGCGCGUAGGCGGGUCUUUAAGUUGGGGGUGAAAUGCCGAGGCUCAACCUCGGAACUGCCUUCAAAACUGGGGGCCUUGAGGUAUGGAGGGGGAAGUGGAAUUCCUGGUGUAGCGGUGAAAUGCGUAGAUAUCAGGAGGAACACCUGUGGCGAAGGCGGCUUCCUGGCCAUAUCCUGACGCUGAGGUGCGAAAGCUAGGGGAGCGAACGGG